GAUUGAACGCUGGCGGCGUGCUUAACACAUGCAAGUCGAUCGGUAACAGGUGUAGCAAUACAUGCUGACGAGAGGCGGACGGGUGAGUAAUGCUUGGGAAUCUGCCUAUUAGUGGGGGACAACCCGGGGAAACUCGGGCUAAUACCGCAUACGCUCUACGGAGGAAAGCCGGGGACCGCAAGGCCUGGCGCUAAUAGAUGAGCCCAAGUCGGAUUAGCUAGUUGGUAGGGUAACGGCCUACCAAGGCGACAAUCCGUAGCUGGUCUGAGAGGACGACCAGCCACACCGGAACUGAGACACGGUCCGGACUCCUACGGGAGGCAGCAGUGGGGAAUAUUGG
rnacentral:rRNA from 1 species